UACGUAGGGUGCGAGCGUUGUCCGGAAUUACUGGGCGUAAAGAGCUCGUAGGUGGUUUGUCGCGUUGUCCGUGAAAACUCACAACUCAAUUGUGGGCGUGCGGGCGAUACGGGCAGACUGGAGUACUGCAGGGGAGACUGGAAUUCCUGGUGUAGCGGUGGAAUGCGCAGAUAUCAGGAGGAACACCAGUGGCGAAGGCGGGUCUCUGGGCAGUAACUGACGCUGAGGAGCGAAAGCGUGGGUAGCUAACAGG
rnacentral:rRNA from 1 species